GUUUGUUCUGAGACUGAAUACACCUGAUCUCAUCUGAUCUGCAAAGCUAAGCAGGGUUGGGCCUGGUUAGUAUUUGGAUGGGAGACUACCUGGGAAUACCAGGUGCUGUAAGCU
rnacentral:rRNA from 1 species